ensembl:lncRNA
CUGAAAUGGAGCUGGAGUUGACUCUCAACCCGACUCCCCUGAAAAGUCAAACUGACAUCUGUCUGUCCACCUCUGAGCUCAAGAAGGAAGAGAUGUCUCCUUGUUGCAGAAUAUCUUUGGUGUCGCCGAGAGCUCAGAAAGAGAUGAAGGCGGUGCUUUGGAAGGCAGAGAAGCACCUGAACUUUGUGGUCGGCUUUCUGUUGUCAGAGCCUCAAAUGUAUGAACCAGCUGUUGACUUCCAGCCUCUGUGGGAAGCCUUAAAAGUUAUCAAACUAGAGAAAGAAAGUUUCAUAAGCGCUGCUGACAAACUGCAGUCCGAGAUGGAGACGGAAGUCCCGCAGUUAUCUUUGUGCUGCUGCUGCGACUUCACAGAGAAUAUGAAGUCUGAUCUUCCCUCCAUCAGAGAGGAAACUGGAGAAGACUUAAGUAAACUGCCACCUGAACAUGUGGAGGGUGAGUGUUUUUGGUUUUUAGAUGUGCAUGAGUCCAUGUGUAGCUGUAUUAAAC